rnacentral:lncRNA from 10 species
GUCCAGCCUUGUCUUAGUAAACAUUCAUCUCCCUGACUCAGGCUGCUGCUUAGAAAUUCUGUUUCGGUUGCAGUUCCAUUGUGUGGAGCCAGUACUACAACUUCUGAUGGUUUUUUGUUUGGUAGUUCCUCCUGCAUUCAUUUCUCUUCCUGCUGCCUUGUGAAGAAGGUGCCUUGCUUCCCCUUCACCUUCUACGGUGAUUGCAAGUUGCCUGAGGAUUCCCCAGCCAUGUGAAACUUUCACAGAGUUUGAGAGAAACUGUAUUCAAGUUGCUGAAACCAAGAAGCUACACUCACGAGUCUCACCUAAACUCGAAUCUGAUUUAGAUGACAUCAUCCUGGACUUUGAGUUGAUGAAACCUUGGAGGUCUUGGGAGUAAAGCAAGUGUGAUUUGCAUAUGAUGGAUAUGAAUUGUAAUGGCCAGAGCAUGGCUGUGAUAUUAUAUGGAGAUGGUGUCAAACAACGGGAUGUGCUAUGGAAUUUGAUGUGGAGGCUGAAGGAAAGAGGAAUCUA